GACAGGAAGUGCAGACGUUAUUCGGCAUAAUUGGGUGUAAAGGAUAUGUAGGCGGCUUUGGUUUGGAUAUCUUUUGAAAUGCUAGAGAAAAUACUUUAGACAGUUGAAGAUUUACCCAGAAGCUUUGAGUUUAAGAUAAGUUGAGAGAAUUUCUUGUGUUAGGGGUAGAAUCUUCACAUAUUGGAACGACUACCAAAUUUGUUGCGAAAGCACUCUUCUAGCUUAAAACUGACGUUGAGAUAUGAAAGUAUAGGGAUCAAACAGG
rnacentral:rRNA from 1 species